UACGGGGGGAGCAAGCGUUGUUCGGAUUUACUGGGGCGUAAAGGGUGCGUAGGCGGGUCUUUAAGUCAGGGGUGAAAUCCUGGAGCUCAACUCCAGAACUGCCUUUGAUACUGAAGAUCUUGAGUUCGGGAGAGGUGAGUGGAACUGCGAGUGUAGAGGUGAAAUUCGUAGAUAUUCGGAAGAACACCAGUGGCGAAGGCGGCUCACUGGCCCGGUACUGACGCUGAGGUGCGAAAGCGUGGGGAGCAAACAGG
rnacentral:rRNA from 1 species